GAGCUGAAGAAAUCUCAUCAUUUUGACCUAAACGUCACUCAAUGUUACAUGAAAGCAGCAGCGGCGGCUUUACCGUCAUCGUUGUCGUCACAUGCACCUUCACAACAAACAGCUGCUUUGUUCAUGCUAUAAUAUUCCAGGGAUGAAUAUAUUUGCAUUGCUAUCAGUGUUUAGAAUCAGUUUUGCCGUGCCUCUUCUGAUGCAAAGACUAUUCAGUUAAGCAAAGCAGAGCGGGUCAUCACUCUGGUCUGUGUGUCAGAGGCAAUCCAGAUAUUAAUGACAUUAAUUUCUCAGACUGUUCUUAACGGUUGUGAAUCCAGUCUGUUCUAGUAGAGAAUGGUUAUCAUUUAUCUCAUGCUUGGUUAUCUCCUCUCUGAUACUUAUGCGAAAUGUGAAAACAGCACUUUGUGUAAUGAUGAAGUGUUCAUCAGCAGCGAGCCAUCCAGCCCAAAUGAGGGUGACGACGUCACUCUCACAUGCAAUGAAAAAUGUGAAAAUUCAACUGUGACUUUUCAGUGGAAGAAAAAUAAGGCGGUCAAAGAAAAAGAAAAUAAUAAGACCUUUCUUAUCCAAAGUGCCCUUUCAAUUUCUGACAUAUACAUCUGCUCAGUAAAGUGCUCCCGUUACUGUUGUGAUUCUAAACCAUACACACUGUCUGUAAAAAGUAAGUCCAUCCAUCUGUAUACUUCUGUUAUAUGUUAUGAUUUUAGAAAUGUGUAUAAUGGCAUGCUAUCAACAGCCCUUGAUACCAUGUGUCUUCACUUCCUGUGUAUUUGUCUAUGUGUGUGUCAUUGUCCAGACAACACUGUGAUCAUCUUGGUGGUCUGUGGUGUUGCAGCUUUGGCCCUUGUUUUGAUUAUGGGACUGAUUAUGAAGUGUAAGCUGAAAAGAGACAGUGGUAAGAGCUCAUUUUAAGAUGUCUGUGGUAUUAGACAACAAUAAGAAAGAAAGAAAGAAAGAAAGAAAGAAAGAAAGAAAGAAAGAAAGAAAGAAAGAAAGAAAGAAGUUUUUCUAGUUUUAACUAACUUAACUAUCAUGAUAUGACUAUCAAUAAAAUACAACAAAUUUUGAUGCUUAUUAUGAAUGUCUGGGUGAAAACAGGCUGUUUUUGCCGCAUUACAAGUAAUUGUGCGAGGCUAAGCUAACAGGCUGGUGCCUUCAGUUACAACUUUGAACAAUAUCGUUGAUGAUCUUGAAUCUAUCUACACAUCAGAACUCAGAAUGACACAUCUGACUGAUUUGAAUGCUCUCUCUCUGCAGAUAAACACAGGGAGAGGGUGAGACAGAGACAGGCUGGACAGGCUGCUGGUGGGCCAUAUCCUGUCACACCCAGAGAGUCCUAAAAAGAAAACAUUCUAUCAUAUUUUGAUAUAAUAAAUUCUGAUCUUAUGCAACAUAAUAUAUAUUUAUCUUUUUGAUAUUUCAGACUUUUGAAUGCUCACAAAUUGAAUAAAUACUCUUUAAUCUCUGUUUUUGAGUGCAUGUGUGCGUGUUUAAUCAGUUAAAGUCACACUUUUCCACAAUGUAGCGUUGCAUUUCUGUUAGUUUGCUCAGUUUAAAAAAAAAAGAACCUAGAAAUGUUUUAAUCCACACACAGGAUUGGCAUGCUCGCACUAAUCCUGCUGAAUGCUCCACUCACAGUGGCACACACUGCUCAGCUUUACAGUGGCUUGCAUGUAAUGGAUAUAUGGGAGUGUAAUGCUGUCUACUCCUAUCCAUGAGAGGGAUGAAUGUGGGAUUUGAAGAUUGACUUAUGAACAUAGUAAUAGCGUUAGGUGCCUCGAUUCAAUGUCAGGAUGCAAUGAUUUGAAGUUUAAGUGUUAAGCUCGG
ensembl:lncRNA